UUCAGGAUGGCCGAGCGGUCUAAAGGCGAGACUCAGUAGAUAACUGAUGUGGGCGUGGGUUCGAAUCCCACUCCUGACA